rnacentral:rRNA from 1 species
UGGGGAAUCUUGCGCAAUGGGCGAAAGCCUGACGCAGCCAUGCCGCGUGAAUGAUGAUGGUCUUAGGAUUGUAAAAUUCUUUCACCGGGGACGAUAAUGACGGUACCCGGAGAAGAAGCCCCGGCUAACUUCGUGCCAGCAGCCGCGGUAAUACGAAGGGGGCUAGCGUUGCUCGGAAUUACUGGGCGUAAAGGGCGCGUAGGCGGAUCGUUAAGUCAGAGGUGAAAUCCCAGGGCUCAACCCUGGAACUGCCUUUGAUACUGGCGAUCUUGAGUAUGAGAGAGGUAUGUGGAACUCCGAGUGUAGAGGUGAAAUUCGUAGAUAUUCGGAAGAACACCAGUGGCGAAGGCGACAUACUGGCUCAUGACUGACGCUGAGGCGCGAAAGCGUGGGGAGCAAACAGG